CUCUUGUUCUUCCCUCACACCUCAACAUGGUUCUUAAGGUUUUCGUCAUCGCUGUCCUUGUGGCCGUCACUAUCGCUGACACUAUCCCCUACACCCCUCCACAUCCCUCCUACAACGCUCCUGCCCCUACUGGUCCUGCCCAGUACAACUUUGACUGGUCAGUGAACGACGCAAACUCCGGCAACGACUACGGCCACAACGAAGGUCGUAAUGGAUACAUACU